GGGGAGUGUGUGAAUCAAAGGAGCAGACCGCAGCUGGAGCCACCUCGCCUGGAUUCCUGAACGCAGACUCUUGACAGACCGAUUGUGUAACGGCAUUCCUCCCAAGGAAACACGCCUGCCCCCUCCAAGAAGGUGGAUGGAGGCAGAAGAGGUGCUGAGUCUGGAACCCAUGGCUGCUGCGGACGAGGAGCUGGGUGAUGCUUGCCUGGGCACCGUAUCGCUCUCAUCCUGUUUUCUCGCCUGUGAAAUGGGAAUGGCGCUCAUGCUUCUCUGUGGGAUGCUGGGAAAGGAACAUGAGGGCGUCCAUGGAAGUGUUUGAGGCAUGCCUGCUCCAGGGGGAAGCUCCAGAAAUGACACCUAUGAUCUCCCAGCUGUGUUCCCUUUAAGUUAACAAACACUCGUCUGGUCUGGGGCUGGGGUACAGCGAUGAGGAUGACCUGGUCCGAGCCCCAGGAAUGUGGGCCGUAGGAAGGGCAUGGGCAUGAAAGACGUGCUCAGG
rnacentral:lncRNA from 1 species